GGGGAGGAGCAUGCUGCCGGGCGCGCCAAACACAGAAUACCCGACGGCGGACACAGCUCUGUCAGUGAACAUCAGCUUGUGGAGAUGUUGCUGUUCUAAUAAGAGUACAGAAGAUUUCAAAAGGAUAUGCGUUAAGAAAACGGAGCAAUCUCACAUAUUCUAGGUGAUUGAAGAUUUGCUCACCUACUGCCUGUCUGGUUGUGAGUGAAAAUCCAGAGGAAGACAGUUGUCAGCUGAGCUGUUGAUAAUGCAGUCACGGGCCAUCAUCUUGCCCCCUCCAUCCUCUGAGGAUAAAAGGAAGUUAUUUUGAAGAGAGUUCAGAGACAACCAGACCCAGAUGCUUGGAAUGUUAAGCUUAGAGAUGAAGCACAGAGUUUUCCCCAGAGAAGCUAAAUCAGAACCCAGAGAAGCUUAAGGAGAAAGACACUGGAAUCAGAAGCUGAAUGUAAUGCAGCCCAGGAGGAGAGGACCAGCAGACACCAGCCACAUGCCUUCCCAGUUAGCAGAGGUAUUCCAAACCCCACUGGCCUUUUCCUUAGAGAAGGUGUGUACUUCUUGAUGCCUCAAUUUGGACAUUUUCAUGGUCUUAGAACUGUAAAUUUGUGAACUAAUAAACACCCAUUG